rnacentral:lncRNA from 1 species
GCCCCCUCAUGUCCCUUUUUACCCCCUAUUUUCCCCAUUUACCCCCCAUUUACCCCCUAUUUUCCCCCAUUUUCCCCCCUAGGCCCCUAUUUAGCCCCCUCAGACCCCUUGUUUACCCCUUUUUACCCCCAUUUACCCCCCUCAGGUCCCCUUUUACCGCCCUCAGGUCCCUUUUUACCCUCUAUUUUCCCCAUUUAGCCCCCAUUUACCCCUAUUUUCCCCCAUUUGCCCCCCGACCCCCCUUUUACCCCCCUUUACCCCCAGCUCCGCCAUUUCCCCCCUCAGCGCCACGUCCACGCCGGCUCCGCCCCUCGAGCUCUGAUUGGCCCCCGCCCGUGCCAAUCCCAGCGGGCGCUGCCGAUUGGCCGGCCGGGAGGCCGGGCCUUCGCCCCGCCCCUCUGCCUCUCAUUGGCUGCCUCUUUCCCGCCGACGGGGCUGGGGGCGGGCCCUUUCGGCCGUUCCGCGCGCUGAUUGGCUGAGCCGCCAGGAGCGGGAGAGAGGCGGUGGGGGCGCGUUCCCAGCAUGCAGUGCGCGGCUGGGGGGUACUGGGGGGUACUGGGAGCCUCUGAGGAGGGAACUGUGAGCCACUGGGGGCGUGGGGAGCGGUUACUGGGAGCUACUGGGAGCGAGUGAGGGGAUACUGGGAGUCACUGGGAGAUACUGGGAGCAGGUGCCAUGGCCGAGGGUCCCCCGGGGCCACCAGGUCUGUGGGGCCUCGUCCCCCCGUCACACUUUGUGCUCCGCCCCCCCGGCCCCAGCACCAGCAGGUCCCUGGGGGCGGAGCUUGAGGCCGAGAGGAGGCGGAGCCAAGCCCUGGGGGUGGAGCUUGAGAAUGAAAAGAGGCGUGGCCAAGCACUGGGGGCGGAGCUUGAAGCAGAAAGGGGGCGGGGUCAAGCCCUGAGGGCGGAGCUUGAGGCCGAGAGGAGGCGGAGCCAAGCCCUGGGGGCGGAGCUUGAGGCUGAGAAGAGGCGGAGCCAGAGCCUGGAGGCGGAGCUUGGAGCAGAAAAGGGGCGGGGCCAGGCCGAGGGGGCGGGGCCUGGCCAGGAGCCACCUGCGGGGGAGGUGAGUGGGGGGGGGGGGGGGGGGCCCCCCCUGCUGGUGGCCCGGUCCCCGCAAUUCCCCUUUGCCCCCCGGCCCCCUGGUGCCCCCCCCGUGUCCCCAUGUCCCCUCCCAUGUCCCCCCACCCCUGUGGUGUCCCCAAAAUGUCCCCACUGUGUCCCCAUACCCAGUGUCCCCAGAACGUCCCCACAAUGUCCCCACGGUGUCCUCACUGUGUCCCCAUACCCGGUGUCCCCAGGAUGUCCCCACAGUGUCCCCCACGUCCCAUUGUCCUGGUGACACGGUGGCAUUGUCCCUGUGGUGUCCCCAGUACGUCCCCACAUCCCCUUGGUGACACGGUGGCCCUGUCCCCGCAGUGUCCCCGUGUCUCCAGUGUGUCCCCAUACCCAAUGUCCCCAGGACGUCCCCACAACGUCCCUAUAUCCGGUGUCCCCAUGUCCCUACAGUGUCCCCAUGUCGCCAUGCUGUCCCCAUGUCCCCAUACCCAGUGUCCCCAGGACGUCCCCACAAUGUCCCCAUGUCCCCCCCCCCGGAGGCCCCCCGGCGUCCCCCCGGCCCGCCCCCCCCCCCGGGCCACAUCCUGGCCCUGCAGGAGCGCGGGCGGGGGGGAGGGGGGGGGGGGGGGGGGGGAUUUGGGGGGCUGGGGGGGGUGCUGGGGGGCUUUGGGGUGCUGGGGAGGGGGA